rnacentral:rRNA from 1 species
UAGGGAAUCUUCCGCAAUGGACGCAAGUCUGACGGAGCAACGCCGCGUGAGUGAAGAAGGAUUUCGGUUCGUAAAACUCUGUUGUUAGAGAAGAACAGCGCAUAGAGUAACUGUUAUGCGUGUGACGGUAUCUAACCAGAAAGCCACGGCUAACUACGUGCCAGCAGCCGCGGUAAUACGUAGGUGGCAAGCGUUGUCCGGAUUUAUUGGGCGUAAAGCGAGCGCAGGCGGUCAAUUAAGUCUGAUGUGAAAGCCCCCGGCUCAACCGGGGAGGGUCAUUGGAAACUGGUUGACUUGAGUGCAGAAGAGGAGAGGGGAAUUCCAUGUGUAGCGGUGAAAUGCGUAGAUAUAUGGGGGAACACCAGUGGCGAAGGCGACUCUCUGGUCUGUAACUGACGCUGAGGCUCGAAAGCGUGGGUAGCAAACAGG